AGAGUUUGAUCCUGGCUCAGAACGAACGUUGGCGGCAUGGAUUAGGCAUGCAAGUCGGGGGAAUCCCAGCAAUGGGGGAACCGGCGUAAGGGGCAGUAAGGCAUGGGUACCUACCCGGGGGUUCGGGAUAGCCAUCAGAGAUGGUGGGUAAUACCGGAUGACCUCGUGAGAGCAAAGAUUUAUCGCCCCCGGAGGGGCCCAUGUGAUAUUAGCUAGUUGGUGAGGUAACGGCUCACCAAGGCGAAGAUGUCUAGCGGGUGUGAGAGCACGACCCGCGCCACUCGCACUGAGACACUGGCGAGACACCUACGGGUGGCUGCAGUCGAGGAUCUUCGGCAAUGGGCGAAAGCCUGACCGAGCGAUGCCGCGUGCGCGAUGAAGGCCUUCGGGUUGUAAAGCGCUUUAGUGGGGGAGAAAAGCCGAAAGGCCUGAUCUAACCCAAGAAUAAGCUCGGGCUAAGUUCGUGCCAGCAGCCGCGGUAAGACGAACCGAGCGAACGUUGUUCGGAAUCACUGGGCUUAAAGGGCGCGUAGGCGGGCUGCCAAGUCUGGGGUGAAAUCCUCCGGCUCAACCGGAGAACGGCCUCGGAUACUGGCGGCCUCGAGGGGGAUAGGGGCGAGCGGAACUGUGAGUGGAGCGGUGAAAUGCGUUGAUAUUCACAAGAACUCCGGUGGCGAAGGCGGCUCGCUGGGUCCCAUCUGACGCUGAUGCGCGAAAGCCAGGGGAGCAAACGGGAUUAGAUACCCCGGUAGUCCUGGCCCUAAACGUUGGGUACUGGGUAGUGGACUGGAUAUGGGUUC
rnacentral:rRNA from 1 species